rnacentral:rRNA from 1 species
AUUGAACGCUGGCGGCAGGCUUAACACAUGCAAGUCGAGCGAGCGGCGGACGGGUGAGUAAUGUCUGGGACACUGCCUGAUGGAGGGGGAUAACUACUGGAAACGGUAGCUACUACCGCAUACCAUACGAUGUUCCCAGAUGGGAUUAGCUAGUAGGUGGGGUAAUGGCUCAACGAGGCGACGAUACCUAGCUGGUCUGAGAGGAUGACCAGCCACACCGGAACUGAGACACGGUCCAGACUACUACGGGAGGCAGCAGUGGGGAAUAUUGCACAAGGGGAGCAAGCCUGAUGCAGCCAUGCCGCGUGUGUGAAGAAGGUCGUCGGGUUGUAAAGCACUUUCAUCGAGGAGGCGUUACUCGCAGAAGAAGCACCGGCUAACUCCGUGCCAGCAGCCGCGGUAAUAC